UAGUAACGGCGAGUGAAGCGGCAAAAGCUCAAAUUUGAAAUCUGGCACCUUCGGUGUCCGAGUUGUAAUUUGAAGAAGGUAACUUUGGAGUUGGCUCUUGUCUAUGUUCCUUGGAACAGGACGUCACAGAGGGUGAGAAUCCCGUGCGAUGAGAUGCCCAAUUCUAUGUAAAGUGCUUUCGAAGAGUCGAGUUGUUUGGGAAUGCAGCUCUAAGUGGGUGGUAAAUUCCAUCUAAAGCUAAAUAUUGGCGAGAGACCGAUAGCGAACAAGUACAGUGAUGGAAAGAUGAAAAGAACUUUGAAAAGAGAGUGAAAAAGUACGUGAAAUUGUUGAAAGGGAAGGGCUUGAGAUCAGACUUGGUAUUUUGCGAUCCUUUCCUUCUUGGUUGGGUUCCUCGCAGCUUACUGGGCCAGCAUCGGUUUGGAUGGUAGGAUAAUGACUAAGGAAUGUGGCUCUACUUCGGUGGAGUGUUAUAGCCUUGGUUGAUACUGCCUGUCUAGACCGAGGACUGCGUCUUUUGACUAGGAUGUUGGCAUAAUGAUCUUAAGCCA
rnacentral:rRNA from 1 species